AAAAAGGCUUGUGUGAGAUAUGGAGGAAUGCUGGGUAGAGUUGGUUGAUGCCAAUUGUUACUAUCCUGAGGCCUAAUUGGCUGAAGGUGGAGAAAGCAAUGAUUUAUUUUGAUAUCAUUCUGGGUAAUGGCACAUAUUGCUCUAAAUGUUGUGAUAGCCCCUAGGCAUAAUGUAACCAAUGGGGUACAUUUAUA